GAUGAACGCUGGCGGCGUGCUUAACACAUGCAAGUCGAACGAUGAAGCCCAGCUUGCUGGGUGGAUUAGUGGCGAACGGGUGAGUAACACGUGAGUAACCUGCCCUUAACUCUGGGAUAAGCCUGGGAAACUGGGUCUAAUACCGGAUAGGAGCGCCUACCGCAUGGUGGGUGUUGGAAAGAUUUAUCGGUUUUGGAUGGACUCGCGGCCUAUCAGCUUGUUGGUGAGGUAAUGGCUCACCAAGGCGACGACGGGUAGCCGGCCUGAGAGGGUGACCGGCCACACUGGGACUGAGACACGGCCCAGACUCCUACGGGAGGCAGCAGUGGGGAAUAUUGCACAAUGGGCGAAAGCCUGAUGCAGCGACGCCGCGUGAGGGAUGACGGCCUUCGGGUUGUAAACCUCUUUCAGUAGGGAAGAAGCGAAAGUGACGGUACCUGCAGAAGAAGCACCGGCUGACUACGUG
rnacentral:rRNA from 1 species